UUGAGUAUGUCGCAUUUUCUUUUUUAAAUAAACAUUUUUAAUUUCAAUUUUUCCAUACAAUCAAACAUGAUAAUUUAUUUUACUGAAGGAACCAAAGCCAAAGAUUCCUGAUUUGGUUAUCCUCGAUGCUCUCCUUACAUGAUUUGAUCUGAGCAUUAACCAUAUGGGUACAAGGUACUAUUUGAAAUUCAAAGAAUAAAGGGGAAUUUGGCCCACUACCCUUUUUUAAAGGGCUAUAACGAUAUUUGCCCUUCUAACCUGGACGGAGCAUGAAGAAAAGAGGAAGAGAAAGUGAGAGAGAAUCAGGUCGUUGCUAGCGAUCGGAGGCAGAGAGAGAUUAGCACCAUUUGAAUCGAAGAUGGAGAGAAGCCACCUUAAGUCGCCGAUUGAGGAUUCAAGAAGGUUUGCGCUUUUUGGAAAUUGGCAGUGGCUGUGUGGCAAAAACCUGAUGGAGAACACCGUUGUGCUUUCACUUAUGGACCAAAGUGAGGGCACGAUCGAAACUCCAACACAAAAGAAGCAUUUUGGGUCAGUCAUCAUCGAUUGAUUGUUGCUUGCCACUGUGAGGGUAAAGGAUGGAAAUUUUGGCGUGAUAUCAAUUUGAAGAGUAAAUUUUAGGGUCACUCAAUUCAGCUUGAUCAUGUUGUUCUUUUAACGGUGGAAUUUGACGACAGAGAAAUUUUUCAAUGGAGUAAGGGGAAUCAUAACUAUUCUUGCAAGCUGAAAUUCGAGGACCAAUCUAUCAUUGACCAAAAUCCUCACCAGGUACAUGGUUUAGUUCAAGAUAGAAAUGGAAAAACGAUAGCAAUACUAUUUGGAAAAUGGGAUGAGAGCAUGCAUUAUGUGGCUGGAAGUUGUUCUGGGAAGGGAAAAGGAUUGGAGUCUUGACCUGAUGCCCAGUUGCUUUGGAAGUGGAGCAAGCCACCCCAGUUUCCUACAAGAUAUAACUUGCCACGCUUUGCCAUCACCAUGAAUGAACUCACCCUUGGAUUAAAGUUGCAGGAAAAGUUGUCCCCUAUAGAUUUAAGGCUCAGGCCUGAUCAAAGGUAUCUAGACAUUGAUUGCUACAACUUUUUAUCCCUUGCCACAGGUAACAUACAUUUAAGUAACCAUUGUUGUUAAAUUAUUCAUUUAAGUUAUAAUUUCCUGAAGCUUGUAUCCCGAGGUACAUAACAACAUGUUGAUUAUUAUGUUUUCUUUGCAACUUGAGAGUUAGUUGGCUUCUAGGAAACCAGAAAUACUACUUCGGCUGGGGAAACUAGAAAAGCAUAUGUGGAUGCAAAGAGGCUGGGGACUUUCUAGAAAGAGUUCUUAUGGAGAAAUACUACUUCGGCUGACAUAUAAAGCAUAUGUUGAGGAUGAAGAGGAUGACAAAGCUGAGGCAGAAUCCACUAACAUUGAUGCUUUAGAUUGUGAAAGAAGAAACAAAGUAUUCUAAAAAAGCAGAUUAAGAGUCAUUCAUGGAUGUCUUAGCUACUUUAAUUGUGAGUGAAGAAUUUCGAGGAAUAGUAGCGUCAGAAACCGGAACUACCAAAAUAUUGAAUAAUGCUUCAAGGGUAGAAUCAAGAAUAUCAAGAUCGCUUGGUCUUAAUGAUGAAUCCGCACCCCAAGAUUCAAACAAUAGUUCAGAACGUCCCAAAGAAAUUCUCUGACAUUACUUUUAGUUUAAUGCUGGUUUGUAAGUUCAUUUUUUGUUUUUUGUUUUUUUGUUUUUUUAGGUUGUUAUGCAACAUCUAACAUUUGAUUGAAAUACUAGUUGUAUUGUGGUCUAAAUAUUGCCUGAAAGAGGAAUGUAAAAGGACAUAAACCGUAUCAGACAACUUGUCAGUACACAGCUUGUGUAUAUUUCUAUGUGUCUGCAUGCAAUGGUCUGCUUGUGUAGUUUUAAUACACACUAAUCAAACAAUGAUGCAAUGAUUGUAGGCAAACACUUAAAUUGACAGAGGUAACUGCAAGCGAUAAGCUGGAGAGUUUUCGUGCAGUAAAAAAGGUACUGUGAACUUCAAAUGAAAAUUCUAUAUGAUAAUAAGUGGUAAUGGUUGAAAAUUCUAUAUGAUAUCUGUGAACUUCAAAAGAGGUAUCUCUGACAUUGUCAUUUAUGCACAUGAGUGGUAAUGGUUCUUAAGUUGUAUUGCAUGGGCACAACCUGAUUCUGAAGCAAGCAUGGCAAAUUUCACCAUAUAAAGAUAAAUAAAGUGUUUUCCAAUUUCAAAUGAACUUUGACAUGGAUAUGCUAAUUCCUAGUUUAGCAACCACUUUCAAAAGCUAGCAUGACAUUCUAUGCAUAAUAAAUUCCAAUAUAUCAAGAGAAAUAAAGGGUUUUCCACUUUUAAAAUGAACUUUGACAUGGAUAUGUUAAUUCCUACUUUAUCAACUACUUUCAAAUGUUCUGUUAAAAAGUGAUAUAGUUGAAAACGCUAUACUGCAGUAAGUGCUAAUCUAUUUAAAGCAUGCUAUACUGCAGUAAGUGCUAAUAUAUUUUAUUUUUCCUUUUUAUUAUCAUUAUUAUUAUCAUAUUUUUUCAAGUCUUGCAAAGUAAUUUUGUUUGCUUCAUUUUGCACGUCCUCAAGGGUUAUAUUGCACUUGGGAAUGCUCAAUUUCCUAAUGGAACCAAUGGUAUUUUAUUUUAUUUUUUAAAUUAUGUAUUUCAUUUUAAGUGAAAUGUAUUGACUAUAUUCUUGUAAGAUUGUGUGAUAGGAAGGUACAUGUUCAUUUUCCUACAGGUAAUGCCCUAGACAUUCUUGCUUGAGUUCCACUAUAGAAAAAUGGUCUUGAUUAUCGGCACGGUACAGGCCACGGAAUUGGGUCUUACCUUAAUGUUCAUGAAAGCAAGUAUGUUUUACUACUUUCCUCUAUUAUUACUGGGUAUCAAAUUGGUCUCCGUUAUAGUGGAGGUGCCCCGUAUGCUUUUAAUGCUGUCACUAAAGUUUGGCAUUAUACCAAUUGUGGUGCCAGUUGGUGUUUGAGAUUUUGACAUUGAUGGGGAACUUUGGGUCAAAUUAGGAUUGAUACCAACAGAGCCUUUUGUAAGAGUUGUAAUAUUCUCUAGAUUUUAUUCGUAAAACACUUGUACAUUUUUCUCUUGCUAAUUCAGAUUUAGUUUUUAGUUUUUCUACAUGAUUCUUAUGUCAAGAUGAAGUGUAAGGACCCAAUUUCAUUAUUAAAUUCUCCAUAUUGUUUGAAAUGUGGAAAAGCAAAAAAUAAAAAGGAUGAGAAUUUAAAUA